GCUGGGUCAGAGGCUGAAGAUUUUCAGGAUGCAUCUCUAAUGGUUGAAGAAGUGGUGGAGGAUGACAUGGGAGAGAGUGCCUGAGGAUCCUUGCCUGGGACAAGUUAUGGAAAGAAAAAUCUUACAGCUUGGGCACUAGGAAAGGAGCUCUUUUAUGCCAUCUUGUCUGCCAGUCUAUUUGAAUCAAGAAAGACUCAUUGAAGACUCCUUUGAAAAGAAUGUUUUGAAGAAGGAAAAAGAAAUACUGUUGAGAGAAGGCAAACAUACCUAAAGGGUGAUAGAAGCAUAUACUUUUGUUGUGUAAUGACAACAGGACUUCAUAGAGUGAACAUGGAGAGCUGAGAAGGGAGAAAUUUCAGAAAGGACUGAAUUCUGUUGGUCUUGAUGAAAAAUGCUGGCCGUCUACUAAUGUGGAAAGACAGUUGAAGUUGAUGUUUAGUCCCAGGACUUUUUGUCUCUUCUGUGUACAGUUCUCAUAAACUGUUCUCAUGUUCAGAACCACCCCUUUGUCCUCUGUGAAUGAUGGCAGUUUUGCUUCUGUUAGCAGUGCUUCCAAGGAUGAAUGAAAAUAUCUAAUGUUUGCCAAAACCUAAAAAGUACAGUAUUUAUCAUUAGAGAUUUUGCAGGAUACCUCUCUUGUAUUUUAAAAUUCUGUAGUGCUUAAAACCAACCAUUGUAGGGUAAUUUUAAUCAAUAAAUACUAGAUUUUUCAAGAUGAAGUAUGAUGAUUCCUGAUCAUACUGUACAGUGCUCUCCAGUGUGAUAUCCAUGGACUGCUUGAUGAAACUGAAACUCUUUUUUGCACAUAGUAAUUAUGCUAUUUAUGGUGUGUCAUGAUUUCCUGUUUUCCUUGAGAUUUUAAUAGACCUUA